rnacentral:rRNA from 1 species
GAUGAACGCUGGCGGCGUGCCUAAUACAUGCAAGUCGAGCGAACAGACGAGGAGCUUGCUCCUCUGACGUUAGCGGCGGACGGGUGAGUAAAACGUGGAUAACCUACCUAUAAGACUGGGAUAACUUCGGGAAACCGGAGCUAAUACCGGAUAAUAUAUUGAACCGCAUGGUUCAAUAGUGAAAGACGGUUUUGCUGUCACUUAGAGAUGGAUCCGCGCCGCAUUAGCUAGUUGGUAAGGUAACGGCUUACCAAGGCGACGAUGCGUAGCCGACCUGAGAGGGUGAUCGGCCACACUGGAACUGAGACACGGUCCAGACUCCUACGGGAGGCAGCAGUAGGGAAUCUUCCGCAAUGGGCGAAAGCCUGACGGAGCAACGCCGCGUGAGUGAUGAAGGUCUUCGGAUCGUAAAACUCUGUUAUUAGGGAAGAACAAAUGUGUAAGUAACUAUGCACGUCUUGACGGUACCUAAUCAGAAAGCCACGGCUAACUACGUG